rnacentral:lncRNA from 1 species
CUGAAAUACAGUUCGUAAGCACGCAAGAAAAAAAUACAACUUCUGCGGCAGAUGAUCGUGAACACAUUUCUGCCCUUAUCCUCUGCCGAGAGCUGAAGGAUUAGCAAAUCUUUUACGUUCGGUUGAUGCACUAAUUUCCUUGUCGCAACGUAGCUUGGCAUCGCGUAGCCUCAAUGUAAGAUAACAGGCAUCUGAGUAAUGCGUAGAAAUAUGUCAGAAUAUAUCAUUAACCGUAUGUCAACACACUUCAGGGAGUGAGUGGAGACUUUUCUGAUCGUCCCCUGCAGGCACUGCAUUGCCUUUGCCUUAUGCCACGGCAAAAUCUAGCUUUUUCCCUGGUGACUGAUACAAACACGGAAGUUUGCGCAGCAAGAUUCAGUCAGUUAUAUCAGAGGGAGUGACGGAUAUACGUACCGAAGUGUUGUACGGGCUCCGUAUUUCUCUAUUCGUGUAGCUGCGAUGUCGAACGUCCAACUGUAGAAAUAGAAGCUGGGGAAUGCAGUCGCAAAAUGUAUGCUUCGCCGACGAGCCUGCAAACUACUUCGUGUUCAACUCACGUGCAGAGGCACAGAUUGCUUCGUUGUUACGGUGCGGAACGUGUCGGCCUGUUGUCCCGAGCAACUGCUAUUUCAUUGCUUCUGUCACUAAAUAUUGCCCGUGACUGUUUCCCUUCAUGUGCUCAUGAAGAUUGUACGCGGUGACGUGGGAACAGUGGUAGCGCACUAUAGAUUCUAAUGAGUGAUAAGACUGCCUUCCGUAACUACAUCGAGCCACUAACGAGCCACCAACUGUUCAGGAACUUUUCGCGGAUACUGGUACUGGCCACAUAGACGACAGAACCUGACCACUGUGGCGGCAUCGGUCGAUGACAGCUCUCCGUGCGAAAAAAAAAGAGUCCGCCUGCGUUGUAGAACGACUGGGGGAACACCGUCUUUCAACCCCUGAGCGAAUGUUUCGGCGCUGACGGAGGGGCAUGAUUGCUUUUGGUCCGAUAGCAAUCGGACCCACAUGACCGGAGAAGCGAACAUUGUAAGGUUGGUCCUGAAAACUCGGGCGCCGACGCUGUGCAGGUGAAAUGACACCUUUGUAUUGUGGCAGAGAUGGAGCACACCAAAGCUGGUACCGGUACUCAGGUAGAUGUGCCAAACACCGUUCAAGUGGGCAACUAGUCAUGUACUUUGACGCCCCCGUGCCAACGAAAUCUGCUUGAAUUUCCUUUGCAGCAGAACCCAGCACCCGCAUCACAGUGAACGUAGUACUUGGAGAGCCCCUCAGGCGGGGGUUUGACUGUGUUCCAUUUUGAUGUCUAGAGGAAUACGUCGGGCUUAAAUACAUCACAACAUCAUGAUCGUAAUUGUUGAAUGCAGCACACCAUUUUCGCCUGAGUCGCGAGUAUGAGUGCAUCACUGUGUGCCGCCACUUUCACUUCCGGCCUUCAUGCGCUGCGACUGAUCGAAACCACCUUAGUCCGGCCUGCGCUCAGUAACUGGCGUUCCUUGCUCCUUUAGCAAGUAAGCUUUUCUUGCUGCAAGGAACAAAUCAAAACCUAGGCGGCUUCGAGUUAGGAGCACCGCUCUGCCAUAAAGUAAAAUCGUUUUUUCGGUGCUUAGCCGCAUACAACACAAUGUAGGAACUGAACUAAAUCGUGUAAGGCGAGGGCGUGGUAGACCGUCGAUUAUUCAAGUGAUUCUCUCCCGCCACACAGAGCCCGGACAAUUUUGGUAAGAAUGCAGUAUUAGGUUGCGUAUCAUGGUGUGUAGAUGUCACCAGCAGAUCUGCGCUUUAUUUGGCUUUGGAAGGCAGCAUCAGUGGAUGUUGUUUACGUGAGUUUUGCCUGAGGACGUAACUGUGCGAGCGCAACACAAGAAGAUUAUACAGGGGUGGAUAAGGUACUUGCGCUUUGACACAGCCUAACCGCAUGUGAUACUCUAGCAUUCAUCAGAAAAGGUCGGACGACUGUCACUGGUUUGUCUUGGAGUUUCACCGUGCCUGCAGCGAACUUCUCGGAGUCGAAUCUUGGAGUUGCACACUUUCUCUUGACCGAUGCAGGCCGUGAGCGGAACAAUGCUGACGUGGGGCGAUUUCAUCUUCUGAUUAAGCCCGACGUUUAGAGACAGGUUGGAUACACGCGACAAAUGCUGCAGUACAGAAAAUGGGUUUUGUUGUCUCUUCUGCAUUUGCAAUCAGGCAGUAAGCAUUGAGCCCAUACACACGAAUAGCAACACCCGAGCCGCACAAAUUCCGUCACCACAUACGCGACCGUAUACCACAUGGUGGUCAGUGAAAUCAAGGCUCCGUUUUCCGGGGUAUACACUUAUAGGUUGUAAGCCUUUUUAUCGUCUGCUGGACUGUGCCACGCCUGGACAGCAGAACUCGUCUAAAUCAGGAAAUAUGAUACAGACACACUGUCACAGAACGUCUUAAGGCGCCAAGACUGCCUUGCGUGUUUUGAGACUGCUCUAAUGUGAAUGCGUCUGUUGUCUACCGUGGACUGUGGUGUCUAGGCUGUAAGAAACGAUUUGUCCUGGGGAAGUAUUGCGGCGAAUGGUAGAUCACAGACGAAGCUGCGAGGUAGCCAGUGUGGACGUGCCGCCGUGUUCACGUAGACACUCGUGGACAACUUUUUCGUUCACGCUAUUCAUGGGCGACCCCGCGCGAAAAUGCAAUUUGCUUAUCCGAAGAUUGUACGCGAAUGCUUGAGAUGAUACACCGAAAUUAGAAAACUGGUAAAUUUAGAAUAUUUAUUUUCUAAUAUCCAGAGAACUUGAAUAGACGUUGAUAUAAUACACUGUCUUCAUAGCGCCGUCAGCUGUAGCAUUUUGCUUUGGUGUUGAUAUAUGGAUUGUAGAAACCUUUUGGAUUUUGCAGCUUACAUCGCUUUUCCCCCUCGCUCUGGCGUCAAGGCCGUAAGCGUUGAAUUUCGAUUGUUGGGACGCGUAUGAGAUUCCUUGUGACCUAGGCUGGCCUGCCUGUUCACCUCAUUUCGUGUAUAUCAAUGCGAGCUUGUGACGGUGGAUGUUGCGAGCUUCCAUUAUUUUCAGGUGGUACGGCGGCUCUGAAGCAUGUCAUUGCAGCAAGACUUUGCACAACUCGUUCAGUGAUGUGGUUGCAUUCAAAAAUGAAAUGUCUGCGUCUUUAACGCUGUUGCUCUUUACACGUUUGUGUACUCUGCUUAGUUAAAGCUCAUACAUUCCUUGUGCACACAUUUAGGUGAUGCCGAAUUAUCCAUCAUGCCUCUCAUUUUUUCUUAUUUGCUUAAAGAUACAUAGAACCGGUUUUCGUACUACUAGCGGAACUGGUCGGUUUGGUAUACGACACGGGAUGGUUCUUCUGUACGAGUUACUUCGCCUUUCCACAGGUAUUCGUCACGAGUUUCCACCAGAACACCUAUUGCCUUCACUGCCGACCUCCUUAGGCGGUGAGUACCCAGCCGCUGCCUCCUGAACUAGAGAAGAUCACGUAUUAGCAUUUGACUGUAACGUCUUCUCGAUGAUUAGUCAUGAUUGGGCAUGUGGAGUACUUGCCACAAGUAGCAUAAAUGCUGAGGAAACGUUGGAAGGAAUAUCGGAGGUGCUUUCGACGGCAUGUGUAGCGUAUGAAUAGAAACUCUAGUACAAACCUGGACAUUGUAGGUCGCAGGACGCUUGAGUUCAGCAGUCGCGUGAUGCGCUGGAGAGCCACAGACGGAACAAACCGACACACCGCUAACAAAGUCUUAUCUUCCUUUCAUCCCGGCGGCAUUGUGAUACCCAGCAUCCUCCAAGAGUCGUGUCGAGACGAGAACGGGUAUGACGGUUUCCCUCUGCUAAGCACCAUCAGCUGCGUGAAAUCAUUAGCCAGCCACCUUCCAUUUGAUUCUAGCGGCACUAAUUUAUGUUUGUUCUACAGGACUGCAGUGCAUUCCCAAGCGCAGCCUUGUGCGUCGUGCGGUGCCGUCGUUCUUGUUUUUCAGACGGUACGGUUCAUUGACCGACAUGCACUGCAAAUAUAGCUCGUGCCUGUAUCACAAGUCUUGGUUAUACGUCACUCUAUACUGCUGCUCACUGUGUUUGCUUGCAGUUGGUAAGUGGAAUAGGUGUGCGCUGCGCAAGUCCCAGCUCCAUUCUGACGGCUACGUACGCGAAUGGGAGAGAAGUGUGCACCGAGUCUGCAAUUGCGAGGGAGGAGACAGAGACCGGUAACGCGGCAGUGUGGUACAGCGCUGCCUGGCAUUGGCUUGCAGCUGGAUAGAGCUGGUGGGAGAUAGCUGCAAGCGGCCAACGUAGAAACACCGUAAACGGUUUCGUUUGCAGAAGGAUGUCGAGGCUAUUCUCAAAACAGUAAAUAUGAAGUACUUACGGUAGAGGUUUUUCACCUUUUCAGGUAGGAUGACAUGAUGAGGUGAUUGGCUAGUCAUUCUUUGAGACAUGGUUUUUCUUGUGCAUACAUUUGCGUGGCAAACUCUUGUGUAGGGACCAAUGCAUCUUUUUUGUUGGCUGCAUGGCAAUGGACUGAACAGGCAGAAGACAUGUUUUGAAUGAAUCUGCCAGUUGGCACUGCAUACCUCGCUGAUCGUCCUCCGGCACCUACUUUCUUGAAGUCGCACUGGGUUCUCAACAGGAGUGGUUUUGAAUUUGUCUUGAGUACUAUCACCGCAGACAUGUUGGCGACAUCAUUCGUGGCUACGCUUUACCCACGUAGCCCGCAGUGGUGAAACGAAGCCCACGAAUUCAACCUAGAAGAGGAUGGCCCUUUUGAAACCAACCACGAUAAAACGUUUUUUUUCUCGGAUCUCAACCGGCUCAGAUUUUUAUGGUACGGUCUCUCGCAUCCAGCCUAGAACCUAAGGAUGCGGCUCGUGGUUGGUUCAUACGCGGAGCUCGUUUAUCAUCUUGCGGCACUUCUGCGACUGCAAAACGUUUCAUUACUUUCAUCGUAUAAAUUGAGGCACGUCCAGCAAACACUCAACGUCAGUCGCGGUGUAGAAACAAGCUUCCUACUGGAGGGCAAAUAUGCUUGUUUAGGCAAGAGUAGCACUAAAGAGGAGAACUCAGAUUGACUUGGGGAGAGGCCUUGUUAUGUAAAGACUACAACAUUGAGAUGGUUUGUGAACCGUCUCCAAGUGAACAUGGUUCUUUCUUGCGCAAUCAGCCUUGCUGGUGUUGCGUGAUUCUGCUGCCUCCCAACAGCUUUGUUCCCAUUAUCUACUGAACGUUGGCUCCGGGAACAGCUGUGUGUGCAGUAAAUGAGUGGGAGUACCGCCGUCUGCGUGCAAUGUUUAGGGUGACUUUGUCAUGGCGCCGCUGCGACCCAACAUGAUGUGUUGAGGAAUAUACGCCUAGCGUAGGAGUCAUCUGGCACAAAAUAUGUGUCGUGCGUAUCGCUUAGCAGUUGGGCUUUCUUCAGCAUCUGUAAAAUGACUCCAAUUCGACGUCAACACAGCUCAGCAAAUGGACAUACUUUGCGGCUUGUACCAACUUGACUCCUCAGUUAAACUCCACACCCCGCGCACAUCGGUCCGUCCUAAAUCAGUUGGUAGGGAUUGAGGCCACAAGCACACCACGUAAACUCGUGAACGGGAUGAAGUGGUUGACAUGUGGGACGACUGACGUUGGCCAACGUACAGUCCGUGGACGAACUGGACGAGUACAGUUCACAUGGAGGAAGGCCAUGGCAAAAGAAAGUCCGACGAAAUGUGGUGUGGAGUUACCCAACCUGUGCGCUGCGUAAAACAAAAAACAAUGAGAACUGCCCUGUACGUCACAGUGGUAAGCUUCUGUGGGGUUCUGGAUUCGCCAAUCUCUGCCGCCACGUAUGUCUUCCUGGUUGAUAGGAUUCCUCUCGAUAAAGGCUCACAACAAUGCUCGUACUUUCUGUACCUGCUCAAAGAAUCUAUCCCCAAUGUAUAGAUCCCAGAGUCCGUUUUCGAUGCAAGCGGAAGUUGCCAACAUGCAGCUGCCUUUUUGGGCUAGUCAGCGAUGUGCAUCCUGUGAGGGAGGCACGACUACAUGAACAUGAGCCACCAGAAAGCUUCCACAAACAGAAUGCCCAACUGGCUGCUCAGUAUCCCGUCAGAUGCUUCUCUCGUGUAUCACUCCGACAGGGAGGUUGAUCUCGAUAUAUUGACCGGAGUACUGACUGCAAGCUGUGCAUGCAUUGUAAAGUAGGAGCGCAGGUCUGCAGAAUUGAAGGGACUACACUGUCGCCAUGGAAUGCUGCCUAAGACCUGGCUUACUUCAAGACAGAAAUAGGAUCGCCUGGUUUUCGCCUCCACCCUAAAUUGUGGGUGCCGAGUGGACUCCGCUGAGAAUAGACCGCCAGCCAGUGUUCUGAUGCCAUCAAACAUGAUAUGAAUUUCUCCUGCAUGAGUUUCGAUACUUCAGACACACGUCACAUUCCUAUUCCAC